UACGUAGGGUGCGAGCGUUGUCCGGAUUUAUUGGGCGUAAAGAGCGUGUAGGCGGCCAUACAGGUCAGCUGUGAAAACUCGAGGCUCAACCUCGAGACGUCGGUUGAAACCGUUUGGCUAGAGUCCGGAAGAGGAGAGUGGAAUUCCCGGUGUAGCGGUGAAAUGCGCAGAUAUCGGGAAGAACACCCGUGGCGAAGGCGGCUCUCUGGGACGGUACUGACGCUGAGACGCGAAAGCGUGGGAGCGAACAGG
rnacentral:rRNA from 1 species